AUGGCGGCCGGGCUGGGGCCGCGGCUGCUGGCCUUGGCCUUGGUCUUGGGGCCAGCCGGUGUGUGUGCCGAAUUGAGUCUGGUGGAGUCUGGCGGAGGUGUGCAAGCACCUGGAGAGUCCGUGCGUCUCUCCUGCCAGGGAUCCGGAUUCAGCUUCAAAGAUUAUUAUGUCUUGUGGUACCGUCAGGCACGCGGUGGAAGUCUCGAGUGGGUGUCCUACAUCAACUAUGAUGGUAGCACAAUAAAAUAUGGCAAAGCGGUGGAGGGCCGAGCCACAGCUUCCCGGGACAAUUCCCAGUCCAAGGCUUAUCUGUCCCUGCGUGCCCUGGUACCCCAGGACUCUGCCCACUACUUCUGUGCAGUUCGCACAGGGGCAGGAAAUCCAGCUGAGCUUUAACACAAACCUGCUCCCAGGGCCCCUCGCCUUCUCUAAGUGUGUCACUGUGACACAGAACAGGGAGGAGCAGCAGAACUGUAUUGAUCUGCUGAAGAGGGCAGAGAAUUGCCUUCAGCUCAGCCCUUUGCCACAUUGGCUGUAGGGGCCCAUGGGAUCAACAGCAGUGUCAGGGGCAAAUGGCCAGG